UACGUAGGUGGCAAGCGUUGUCCGGAAUUAUUGGGCGUAAAGCGCGCGCAGGUGGCUAUGUAAGUCUGAUGUUAAAGCCCGAGGCUCAACCUCGGUUCGCAUUGGAAACUGUGUAGCUUGAGUGCAGGAGAGGAAAGUGGUAUUCCACGUGUAGCGGUGAAAUGCGUAGAGAUGUGGAGGAACACCAGUGGCGAAGGCGACUUUCUGGCCUGUAACUGACACUGAGGCGCGAAAGCGUGGGGAGCAAACAGGAUUAGAUACCCUGGUAGUCCACGCCGUAAACGAUGAGUGCUAGGUGUUAGGGGUUUCAAUACCCUUAGUGCCGCAGCUAACGCAAUAAGCACUCCGCCUGGGGAGUACGCUCGCAAGAGUGAA
rnacentral:rRNA from 1 species